UGGGGAAUAUUGGACAAUGGGCGAAAGCCUGAUCCAGCCAUGCCGCGUGAGUGACGAAGGCCUUAGGGUUGUAAAACUCUUUCGUCGGGGACGAUAAUGACGGUACCCGAAGAAGAAGCUCCGGCUAACUUCGUGCCAGCAGCCGCGGUAAUACGAAGGGAGCUAGCGUUGUUCGGAAUCACUGGGCGUAAAGCGCACGUAGGCGGAUAGUUAAGUCAGGGGCGAAAUCCUGGGGCUCAACCCCAGAACUGCCUUUGAUACUGGCUGUCUCGAGGUCGAGAGAGGUUGGCGGAAUUCCUAGUGUAGAGGUGAAAUUCGUAGAUAUUAGGAAGAACACCAGUGGCGAAGGCGGCCAACUGGCUCGAUACUGACGCUGAGGUGCGAAAGCGUGGGGAGCAAACAGGAUUAGAUACCCUCGUAGUCCCUGAGCGGGCUGGCAAGGCGCAU
rnacentral:rRNA from 1 species